AAUAGACGUACAUAGUAGGCCUUAUCUAUUUCCCGUGUUUUCUGAAAAUAAGCUUAUUAGUAAUACGAAGAGGAAUACGAAUUCGAGUUACUUCGUUUGUUUUAUGAAAAGCGUACGGACACAGUACGUUCAGAGCGAGGGAUUUCUCUCUACUAUGAACGACGUCAGUGUUUAUUUUUAAUUAAGUAGAUUAACUGGACGAGUGCACCGUUCAACGUACGAGAGUCGACCAAGAAUGUAAAGAAGAGUUUCCUAUAGAGUCUUCGUUCAAAGGUCGUCAUUAUUUUGUUGCCAUUGUAUAAAGGUCGUUUCAACUCUCGUCUUACCGAAGGACAUUAUCGUAGGUAUUAUUUUGAAACAGUUUCGGAGAAUUUUAUUCGUCAUCGUCAAGAACGAGUCCUAUUAUAACAACAAAGAGAGAUAAAUACAGCGUCUCCUUUGUAUGUAAACAUAACAUAACAUUGUUAAGACUUUCGACACGAACUAAAACCUCUUACAGUCGUUUCCUGCCUCUCUCCAGCGUAGUUUCAAAGUAAAGUAUUGUUUCUUCUGGUCCUUUAAAUAAAAUAUAUUUCGUCCCAUCUAAAUAUUCUACGAAUGGAGUCGGCCUUCUCUCGCCUACCAUCUUUUCUUACUUUAACAGAGAAGAAAGAGAAGAAGAAAAAGACAAGAAGUACAUACCAAUGUAUACUGUCCAUUUUUGUGCGCGUAUACGUACACCCGACGCUCAUAUAUACACAUAUACGUCUUUUUCUCUUUCUCUAUAUAUAUAUGCGUGUCUAUACAUACAUGUGUGCGCGUGUGUAGUGUAUAUGUGUAAAGAUACACGACCACAAAGCGAGUGCAAGCAUAGGAAGUGACAUGAACGAAUGGAACGCAUAAAAGGGAAAAAUGAGCAGGAGCAGAGGGACGCUUGUGCGAGGAUCUCCGUAUUUCCCUCGGGCUUUUCCAACGUCACCGUCAUCCCCUCUCUUUUCACGAUUCACCAUCACCACCACCACCAUCUAUACCAUCACCAACCUUUCUUACGAUAUACAGCCUACAAGGAGAAUCUACUUGCCGUCUUUUCCUGAUCCUUCUUUGUAUUCAUAAUUCGUCGAAUGGAAUUUAAACAAUGCUGUAACAACCAUCGAGCAUUGCCAUAGAUGGGUCCAAAUAUAUCUUCACCUAAUCUCAAGGUACUUAGGCUCUUUCUACUUGGUUUUCAAAGUUUGAUUUCGAAGACGAAUGAAAAAGAAGAAGAAGAAAAAGAAGAACAAGAAAAACAAGAAGAACGAGAAGAACGAGAAGAAGAAGGAGACGUGAAUGUCUUGACGAAAUAAAAGCAACGUUUCUUCGUUAGCGUUUUUACGCGUCGCGUUAAGUAAUUAACGUGUUCCUUUUUGAUGAGCAACUGCUUACAUUUUACCAGUCGCUGUUUAAACAAGAACUUCGUUUCUCUGCAGAAAAUAAAAGAAAGAAAAGAAGAAAUGUAAAAGAUAAAGAAAGAAAAAAAAAAGAUAGCAAGAAGAAGAAGAAGAUGAAAAUGAAGAAGAAGAAGAACAAGAAUAAGAAAAAUUAGUUUUAUUCUCUCUCUCUCUCUUUCUCUCUCUCUCUCUCUCUCUCUCUCUCUCUCUCUCUCGACGACUACUAAUUAAAGAGAAAGCAAAGUAUCAUAGUUGUCGGCCGUCGAGAUAUCGAGCAGUUCGCGAGAUCGAGAUCGAGCCGUUUCUCGUAAAUCGGAUUAACGGAUCGACUGGAUUAUCGAAAGUAUCGAACAAUCGGAAGCUCGUUCUAGCGUGGCCAUUCCAAUCCAACUCACGGAAUUCGAUUGAAAUUACGGAACGCGAAGCCAACGUGGAACGUUCCACCUCGGACGUUCUUUGAUCGCAUUUCCCAAACGAUUUCAGCGUGACGAAAGGAUCUCGAUUGCUUUAACACAUUGACUGCUGAUUCAGACCUCAUUGCCACGUGCACGUAUACGCGCAUACACACAUUCCAUUUUCUUCGUUUUAUUUCGAAUUAAUAUCACGAUGAUUUGUGGUAGAUAACAUUCAUUUUGAUCAACGUUUUGAUAACGUACCAGCCUGUUUAUGAUAAUUUAAACUCUCAUUUGAAAUUUUAUCUCUAUAUCAAUUGGAAGUAUUUUUUAUUCCUUUUCUCGGUUUUUUCUUUCUUUUCUCGUUAUUUUCUUCUUCUUUCUUUCCUUUUUUGUCAAUUAAAAACUUCAUAACAUUUUACGUAAAAUUGAAGCUUCGUUUGAAAGAAUUGCAUUGUCGGUUUUAACGGAAAAAAGAAAAAAAAAAGAGAAUAAGAAACACUAAUUUAUCUUAUAAGGAAUAUAUAUUUAUCUUAAGGAAUAUAACUAUGGGCAUAAAUAUUACAGGCAUAUUUGCGAUUUAAAUAUUCAUGAUAGCACGUAACUUUACAUAACCUAUUUCAAACAUAGUAGAUACAUAUAAGACAAAUAUAAAUGUUUAUAUGAUAACAUAUCUUAACAUAACGUAUCUUAAACAUACACACGUAUAUACGUAUAUAAGAUAUGUUAUCACGAACGUUUGAAUUAUAGAGUGUUGAUUUAAAAUAUUGAACGAAAAUUAAGCGCUAUUUAGAAUAUAUAUUUAGAAUUAAUAUUAAAUGAUAAAUUUAGAAUUAAUAAAUGAAUGACGAAGGUCUUUUGCUAUAAUAUUUGAUUUAUAAUUGAUCUCUCUCUCUCUUUCUUUCUUUAUCCUUUUCUUUUUUUUUUGUUUAACAGAACGUUAGCUUUAAGGAUUAAGUAUGAUACCGCAUUACGUAUGUACCAAGUAGUAAAACUUUUUCUACAGACUCGAACGUUCAUUACGUUCGUUAGAACGUCUCGAAAACGAGUUUGUAGGAAGUCACGUAGGUCCUUUAUCCUUGUUGAAUAAUGAAAUCUGCGAGAAAAUGGAGAAAAUCGUAUGACUUCUUUGGGACCACGAGCUAUGGUUUCUUUUGGGACCAUCUAACGAGAUGGACAGAAGAAUGAGAAAGAAAGAAAGA